UCUUUACUCGUUCCGUAAUACAAGAUCCCGUGGCUUACACUAAGUCACGUUGCUUGCAAGGCUUGUGUGUGAUGUUGUAUUACCGAGUGGGCCUCGAGAUACCUCUCCGUCACACGGAGUGACAAAUCCCAGUCUUGAUCCAUACUAACUCAAUGGACACCCUCGGAGAUACCUGUAGAGCAUCUUUACAGUCACCCGGUUACGUUGUGGCGUUUGAUACACAAGGCAUUCCUCCGGUGUCAGUGAGUUAUAUGAUCUCAUGGUCAUAGGAAUAAAUAC
rnacentral:lncRNA from 1 species